UACGUAGGGUGCAAGCGUUAAUCGGAAUUAUUGGGCGUAAAGAGCUCGUAGGCGGUCUGUCACGUCGGCUGUGAAAUCCCGAGGCUCAACCUCGGGUCUGCAGUCGAUACGGGCAAACUAGAGUAUUGCAGGGGAGACUGGAAUUCCUGGUGUAGCGGUGAAAUGCGCAGAUAUCAGGAGGAACACCGGUGGCGAAGGCGGGGUCUCUGGGCAAUAACUGACGCUGAGGAGCGAAAGCGUGGGGAGCGAACAGG
rnacentral:rRNA from 1 species